AGAGGCCCUGGUAUUGUGCAUGCUGACUCACUGAAAUAGCUUACUGGGACACUUGAUGGAACUGAGCCAUCGUUAUGGUCCAAUCCAACCUGUUGUAGAACUGGUUGAGCUGGUUUGCCCUCACCACAUCACCCUCCACUAUAUGCUACAUUAGUCAGUUGUGAAAGAAGAUCCAACGUUAUCUCUGCAGGUCGGACUGGCUUCCACAGCUAGAUAAAUCCUAACUAUUACCUACAUAUCAUUGGAGAGGAGUUCAUCUUCUGGAGAGGUUCAAAGUUGACUUCGUCAGAGGUUCAGAUGUCGUCUUUCACUUCAAUCCUCGAUUUUCUGAGGGAAUAAUUGUCAGAAACUCCAACCUAGGUGAAUGUUGGGGGCCAGAGGAGCGGGAAGGAGGCUUCCCAUUUGUCCAGGGACAGCGUUUUGAGCUGAAGUUCCUCGUGGACGAGAACUCGUUUAAAGUGUCAGUGGAUGGCACCGACCUGCUGGAGUUCAAGCACCGAGUCAGCGAGCUGGAGGAAGUGACCCUGGUGCGAGUGAUUGGAGACAUCAACCUGAACAGUGCAACCCCGAGCACGAUCUGAGUCCCAGAGCUACUAAACCACAUGCUGUACAGGAGUCCUGGGUCACCCUUCACCACCGUAUUUGAAAUCCUUUCAAAUACCUUGAUGGAGUUUUUGAGGCAAAAUAGUCAGCGAAGUGCAAUCUUUGCCCACCUGGCACUUAGUCAUUAACCCUUGUGUUGUCUUCACUGUCGUCCAUGAGCUUUUGGCGCUUUUUUAAACGUUUUUGUCCCUCUU